UACAGAGGUCUCAAGCGUUGUUCGGAUUCAUUGGCGUAAAGGGUGCGUAGGCGGCGCGGUAAGUCGGGUGUGAAAUCUCGGAGCUUAACUCCGAAACUGCAUUCGAUACUGCCGUGCUUGAGGACUGGAGAGGAGACUGGAAUUUACGGUGUAGCGGUGAAAUGCGUAGAUAUCGUAAGGAAGACCAGUGGCGGAAGGCGGGUCUCUGGACAGUUCCUGACGCUGAGGCACGAAGGUCAGGGGAGCAAACGGG
rnacentral:rRNA from 1 species